rnacentral:rRNA from 1 species
AAGGAAACGCACUCAGGUCAUAGCUUAAGCCAUGCAAGUCUCAGUUCAGGACUCCAAACUGCGAACAGCUCAUUGUGCGCUUAUUACCUACAUGGGAGCGACAUAGUCUUAUAUGGAUAGCUGCCGCAAAUCAGGAGCUAUUACACGCGAGUGUACCACUGUAAAUCAAGGAGCGGUGGCAAAGUUGACCCUUUAGGGCAACCCAUAUGGAUGAGCGGCCUAUCAGCUAUACCGUAGUGUUUUGGACUACGGUGGCUAUGACGGGGAACGGGCGGUGAGCGUCGGACUGCCGGAGAAGGAGCCUGAAAGACAGCUACUAUGUCUAUGGAUUGCAGCAGGCGCGAAACUUACCUCAUCGCGACGCGCGGAGGUGGUAAUGACCAGUCCGUCUGGGGCCUUCGGGCCACUCUCGGUAGGACGGCGAAUAGAUGCUGUCGAGUAAUCAAGCAGAGGGCCAGUCUGGUGCCAGCAGCCGCGGUAAUUCCAGCUCUGUUUGUGCGUUCCCAUAUUGCUGUAGUUAAAACGCCCGUAGUCAGAGGUCAAGAACACGGCUUGGCCGCCCACCGUGAUUAAAUCAAGACGCCUAGAGUAGCUCUAGCAGAAUGGUCUAGCACGGGCUGGGGACUUUGCCCGCAAGGGUAAGGUCAUGGGAGAUCAUUGGGGAUAGUCGUAUGCCUUGGCGAGCGGUGAAAUGCAUUGACCCUUGGCAGACGCCCAACAGCGAAAGCAGCUAUCCAGAUGGUCUUCGUCGAUCAAGGGUGGGAGUGGGGGUAGCGAACCGGAUUAGAGACCCGGGUAGUCCCCACCGUAAACGAUGUCGACAGCGGAUGGGAGGCUUCGGCUUUCCGGACGCGACGACAAAUCGAGUUCCUGGACUCUAGGGGAACUACGAUCGCAAGACUGAAACUUGAAGGAAUUGACGGAAGGGCACACCAGGGGUGGAACUUGCGACGUAAUUGACUCAACGCGGGGAAACUUACCAGGAUAAGCAAGCAGCGGUGAUGGACCCUCUCAAGGGGGUUCCGGAGCGCUUUAGGGUGAUGCAUGGCCAUUGGUGGUGCGUGGGUUGACUUGUCUAAGUUGAUUCAGAUAACGAGCGAGAUGACCGCUGGCUAUUCCGAUGUCGCUAACUAGGUGAUUGAGGUUAACCAGGACAGCCCUCUAAUAAGGGGGAGGAAGGAGGUCGUAAUAAUAGGUCCGUGAUGUCCCUUAGAUACCCUGGGCAGCACGCGUGUUACACUGGUACUGGGAGAGAGCUGCGCUCCCCAGAGGGCUUGAGCAACCCUCUAAUUGGUACCGUGGUGAGGAUCGGGGCUUGUAAUGAGCCCCGUGAAUCAGGAAUCCCUUGUAAGCGUGUGUCAACAUCGCACGCUGAAUACGUCCCUGCCCUUUGUACACACCGCCCGUCGCUCCUACCGAUUGGAUGACCUGGUGAAGGCACUGGAAGCUUCGGCCGAAGGUGUCUGAGCCAGGGCGUCUAGAGGAAGGAGAAGUCGUAACAAGGUAACA